UUGACAGCCUUGGUGUCUAGAGCUCUCUAUUUAUUCAAACAAUAAAAUAUGUACAGCAUAGGCAGUAGCAGAGCAAGCUUCCCCCAUAUCGCUUUUGAAGUGUUGCUUCCUAUAUGUGGCGAGACCACCUCUGUGGGCAAGAAGAUAGCUCAGUGCUUGGCUUCUCUUUUGAGACUCCC
rnacentral:sRNA from 1 species